GAAUACCCAUUGCGAAGGCGAUCUGCUAGAACUCAACUGACGCUAAUGCGUGAAAGCGUGGGGAGCAAACAGGAUUAGAUACCCUGGUAGUCCACGCCCUAAACGAUGUAUACUAGUUGUUGCUAUGCUAGUCAUGGCAGUAAUGCACCUAACGGAUUAAGUAUACCGCCUGGGGAGUACGGUCGCAAGAUUAAAACUCAAAGGAAUAGACGGGGACCCGCACAAGCGGUGGAGCAUGUGGUUUAAUUCGAUGAUACGCGAAGAACCUUACCUGGGCUUGAUAUCCUAAGAACCUCUUAGAGAUAAGAGGGUGCUAGCUUGCUAGAACUUAGUGACAGGUGCUGCACGGCUGUCGUCAGCUCGUGUCGUGAGAUGUUCGGUUAAGUCCGGCAACGAGCGCAACCCAUGUAUUUAGUUGCUAACAGUUUGGCUGAGCACUCUAAAUAUACUGCCUUCGUAAGGAGGAGGAAGGUGUGGACGACGUCAAGUCAUCAUGGCCCUUAUGCCCAGGGCGACACACGUGCUACAAUGGCAUAUACAAUGAGACGCAAUAUCGUGAGAUGGAGCAAAUCUAUAAAAUAUGUCCCAGUUCGGAUUGUUCUCUGCAACUCGAGAGCAUGAAGCCGGAAUCGCUAGUAAUCGUAGAUCAGCCAUGCUACGGUGAAUACGUUCCCGGGUCUUGUACUCACCGCCCGUCACACCAUGGGAGUUGAUUUCACUCGAAGCGGGGAUGCUAAACUAGCUACCCUCCACAGUGGAAUCAGCGACUGGGGUGAAGUCGUAACAAGGUAACCGUAGGAGAACCUGCGGUUG
rnacentral:rRNA from 1 species